rnacentral:piRNA from 1 species
UAUUUAUAUGGGUCCAUCUUUAGAAA